rnacentral:lncRNA from 1 species
UGUGUGUGUGUCUGUGUGUGUGUAUGCAUAUGGGGAACUGAAGAUGCCCAGCCAGAGUUGUGAGCUUCCAGUCUUUCAGCAAAGGAAGAAGAGCUUUAGAAAAAUCAGAGUAAUAUGAUCAGAUCGCCCCACCAGUGGCUCAACAAUCUGUCCUCGUGUACACUUUGAAGAAAGCACAGGUGGUGAAGUGUCUCAUUUCAAGUUGUUGUGGUUUUCUGCCAUGGAGGAAAGUGUUGAAAAAAAAGGGAACUAUACAGCAUAAAGAUGGGUUUUCACAGAUCCUGUCAAGGGAUCUGAAUGAUGCAGUGUCGCAAUCCCAUUUUAUAAAUGAGGCAACCAAAACUCGAACAGGACCAUAUUGCGACUGAAACAAGGCAUAACAGGUCUUUGACUGGCUAUCCUGUGGAUGUGGACUCAGGCUAGCCUGCGCAAAGUGAAAGACAGGCAAUUAGAUUGAAAAAUACCUGUGAUUCAAAGAAGUCACAAGUCACAGAGACAAACUUUUCCCAGUGUGUUCGAGUCAGAGAACCUUUGCAAAGACCAACAGGCUAAAAGAGAAAAUACAAUGUCAUCUUGAUGCAGAUGAGCAGGUAACCAUGGAAGUCGUGAGCUGAGGCUGCAGAGUCUAGAGCCAGAGUGUGGAAUAAACUUGGGUCUCAAAUCACCCCUGGAGCAAAGCACCCAUCUAAUCAGGAACUUCUACUUUCAACUUUACAUGCGUGAGAAAUGAACUUCUAUCAUGUUAGAGAAAUCCUUACACGGCGCCCUUGAGAGCUUUCAUACUGCAAGUCAUCCAUUUUCCUCCCCUCAAACCUGGCAUCGGAGUUUAUUGAAACAAAGCAAAAUAAAACAAAUAGACAAAGCUCUACCUCCAUCACUUCUGCAGUCUACAUUAACCCCACGUCCAGAAUAUUCACACCUCAGGUCUUUUUCUCACAAUUGAAACACUGGUUCAGAGCCUAACGGAAGGUCUUGGAGGUAAAAACACAACUUGGGGCAACUUUUCCAUUCUGUUCUGCAUGACCCCAAUGGGACUUCUCAGAAACCCCUCUCAUGAAUUAAACUUUGUUCUGUCUAGAGCAUUAGAAUAAGCUUAUGGGCACCUGCCAGGAGAUUAUAAAGUGGGCCAUUUAAAAGAUGACAGAUAUUGAGCACCCUUGACCCUGUAGAAAGAGUGUACCUACUUGCUUUCCCUAGGGCCCUUAAUGGUUUAUAAAA